rnacentral:misc_RNA from 1 species
AAGUAAACUUGAAUUGCUUUUGGAGAGCAGUAAUUACUAUGUUUAUGCAAAUUUGAAUCACUUGUUAAGACUCAAAAGCAGCAAUAAGUAUAUCUAAAGUCUCUGAUUAUGAUAUAUAAAUGGAUAGUGUAAUACACUAUUCCUAUCUUUGAUAAUACAAAAGGCAAAGGGAAAUCUAAAAGGAAAGGUUCAGCAAUCAUCUGAUUGUAUAUCUUCCAAUGGGUUUGUGAUUA